rnacentral:rRNA from 1 species
AUUGAACGCUGGCGGCAUGCUUUACACAUGCAAGUCGAACGGCAGCGCGGGCUUCGGCCUGGCGGCGCGUGGCGAACGGGUGAGUAAUGCAUCGGAACGUGCCCUGUCGUGGGGGAUAGCCCGGCGAAAGCCGGAUUAAUACCGCAUACGACCUGAGGGUGAAAGCGGGGGACCGAAAGGCCUCGCGCUAUUUGAGCGGCCGAUGUCGGAUUAGCUAGUUGGUUGGGUAAAGGCUUACCAAGGCGACGAUCCGUAGCUGGUCUGAGAGGACGACCAGCCACACUGGGACUGAGACACGGCCCAGACUCCUACGGGAGGCAGCAGUGGGGAAUUUUGGACAAUGGGGGCAACCCUGAUCCAGCCAUGCCGCGUGCGGGAAGAAGGCCUUCGGGUUGUAAACCGCUUUUGUUCGGGAAGAAAUCCUCUGGGCUAAUACCCCGGGGGGAUGACGGUACCGGAAGAAUAAGCACCGGCUAACUACGUG